UUCCCCCGCUCCCUGCGCGCGCCGCUCCCUUGGGUGGAUUCUGGCGCUUCUUCCUCCCAGCGAACACUUUUCCUGAGGCGGCGCAUUUACUCCGGGAACAACCUGAAGGGGUCAGCACCACCCCUGUUCUGCAGCUCCAGCCUCUCAUCUAGUCUGAAUGGAUUUGCCUAUUCGAGAUAGUUCAUGUACAUGGAAUCAUACACUAUUUGUCCCUCUGCGUCUGGCUUAUUUCACUCAGCAUAACGUUUUCAAGAUCUUCCUGUUCUUUGUAACCAUGGCAGAGAAGAGAGGAUCAGGCCGUGCACCCACAAGGGGGAGACUGUAUGAGGACACAGGGAGAAGAUGGCCACCUACCAGCAGAGGAGAGAGGCCUCAGAGACAUACUCUGCCAAUACCUUGCUGUCAGACUUGCAGCCUCCAGCUCUGUGACAGGAUGCAUUUCCGUCGUUUCAGCCACCCAGUCUGUGGCGCUUUGUUGUGACAGCCCCAGCCGCCCUGGGUCUUCUGAUUCUGGAACAUCUCAUUCUUCCCGGUCAGUAACCAAUGCUGCCGCGAACCAUUCUUGUGCCUGUGUUUGACACACUGGUGGAGGGACCGCCAGAACAUUUGUUCUGUCCUGGCUUCUGGUGGAUUUGCUGUUUCGCUCCCAAGGGAGCACAUACAGAAUUUUCCACGUACCUGAAGGUGAAGACCAGAAGCUCCAGGAUUCGUCUGUGCGGGGGCAUUCCCAGCUGUGAAGAGCUGGGACUUCUCUUUCCACCCUGACCUCUCCCUGCACUUCCAUCCCACCCACGGGGCCGCUGACUCCAUCUGCCUGGCAGGGUCACCACCACGCUGCGGGCCGCAUCUGACCUGCCCGCAGCCCACAGCCUGUCUUUCCUCAAGCAGCUCCCUGCUGUCACUGAUCUAGCUGGGCAGAAGUCCGGGUGAGCAGGUCGUGGGGCCCAAGCUCACUGCGAUUCUCAUCUUCUUUCCAGCUCUCUCUGCUUUGUAUAUACACAUAAUA